rnacentral:rRNA from 1 species
GAUGAACGCUGGCGGCGUGCCUAAUACAUGCAAGUCGAGCGAACGGACGAGAAGCUUGCUUCUCUGAUGUUAGCGGCGGACGGGUGAGUAACACGUGGAUAGCCUACCUAUAAGACUGGGAUAACUUCGGGAAACCGGAGCUAAUACCGGAUGAUAUUUUGAACCGCAUGGUUCAAAAGUGAAAGACGGUCUUGCUGUCACUUAUAGAUGGAUCCGCGCUGCAUUAGCUAGUUGGUAAGGUAACGGCUUACCAAGGCAACGAUGCAUAGCCGACCUGAGAGGGUGAUCGGCCACACUGGAACUGAGACACGGUCCAGACUCCUACGGGAGGCAGCAGUAGGGAAUCUUCCGCAAUGGGCGAAAGCCUGACGGAGCAACGCCGCGUGAGUGAUGAAGGUCUUCGGAUCGUAAAACUCUGUUAUUAGGGAAGAACAUAUGUGUAAGUAACUGUGCACAUCUUGACGGUACCUAAUCAGAAAGCCACGGCUAACUACGU